rnacentral:hammerhead_ribozyme from 1 species
AUCCAGUUGACGAGUCCCAAAAUAGGACGAAACAUACGUUCUAGAU